GCAGCUCUGAUGCAGCAGGAGGUUUUCUCUCCAGAGAUCCCACAUUUCCCCAGGGGUCCAUGUUCUGUUGCUUUCAGAACUAUCUCUGAGCACCACCAGAGGAAGAUUCCAGCCCAGCAUGUCCUGAACAAGGAGAUUCCAGCCCAAAAUAUCGACAGGUUGUUGGAUCUGGAAGGCACACUGGAAAAAAAAAUAAAGUUCUCUUUGUUCUUA